AUCCUCGAGUCUUCCUCCUCUAUCGGAUCUAUUCCUGGCUGACAUUCUCGUCCCCUCAUGAGCACGGAGGGCCGCCCCUGGAUCGACUCCUCACAUGAGGCCGUGGCUGUGGCAGAGCACUGGAUGUGAAAUCGCACUCGAUCGUCGCUGGGCACGCAGCAGCCUGCUAGUGUAAGUGCGCCGUGCACAUCAACUCCUCUGCAUUGGCCUUGCACGGAUCAAGGGGAAGAGCUUGGGCGAUUGGGCAGGGCAGCUGGACACGGACGGUGAUCAGCUGAAAGGGACCACUAGGACACCAAGCAAGGGCAGUUGAUUGAUUAUCAUAGGUGAUGGAUCGAAGCUGGAUGACUAAACCAAGAAGGGAACCUGCUUACAAAGAUGGAGUGGACCAGUUCCUCUCAUUUGCUUUCCGUGACCUUCCACAUGAUAGAAAGAUAGCAUGCCCUUGCAUCAAUUGUGAAAAUAGAGUUACCCAAAAUCGUGAUGAAGUUGAGACUCACCUAAAAUGUGAUGGUAUUCUUCAGGGUUAUACAGUAUGGAAUCACCAUGGAGAGGAGUAUGACCCACCAUCAUUUGUAUUUGCUCAUGUGCCAGAUAACGAUGGGAGUAUUCCUACUUUGGGUGUCCCAGUAGAAAAUAGCCAUGGAAGAUUGGAUGACAUGCAAGGACUACUACAGGCUGCAUUUCUUCCACCAGCAAGCUAUGAAUCACUGUCAAGUAUGUCUGGAGCCGAAUUAGAUGAUAUUCAGUCUAAUUUUACAAAUAUGGAACAUAAUAUAGCUGAGGAUGUAAUGAGUCCUGCACAAGAUAAUACUACCAAGACAGAACAUGAUAUGUAUGAAAGCUUCUUCAAGGAUGCACACACAAGGUUGUACCCAGGCUGUGAGACAUAUACAAAGCUGUCAUUUUUAGUCCAUUUAUAUCACCAAAAGUGCUUACAUGGUUGGACACAAGAAUCCUUUACAUCCCUGCUUGGUAUAUUAUCUGCUGCACUUCCACCCGAGGCAAAUCUACCUAAGACAUAUUAUGAAGCAAAAAAAAUUAUCCGUGCUUUUGGUCUUGAC